rnacentral:rRNA from 1 species
AUGGUCUUAUACUCUUAUCUGGUGAAGUUUCCACCACAUAUCUCUGUGGAUCAUGUAGCUGGGUACCCAUGUCUUGGUCUGUCUAGGGAAGAUAUCAUUGUUAAGGUAGUAGCUUGGAAAGAGGAUCUAGAGAAAAUGGACAGCUUAACCGAAGUUUGGGUUCAAUUGAGGAAAUUGCUGCCCAAAUGGUGUGAAUGGUCUUCACUUGACCAAAUCACGUCUGUUUUUGGACUGCUUGUGGAGGUGGACUGGGAACAGAUGUUCAAGAGUAUGUUUGAAGUGGUCAGAGUUAAAAUACAAUAUAGAGACCCCGACAAAAUUCCAAAUGAGAGGUUGUUCUCUCUAGAAGGCAAAUUAGUACAAGUUCAGAUCACUGUGGAAGUCCCUAAACCUGUGUCUAUAGAGAUAGAACCUUCAAGGUCUGGGCACAAAUAUGGAGAUGGUGAUGCUGACAAAAACAAUAACAGUGGAAUGGAAACUGAUGGUUGA